rnacentral:rRNA from 1 species
UACGUAGGGUGCGAGCGUUGUCCGGAAUUACUGGGCGUAAAGAGCUCGUAGGUGGUUUGUCGCGUUGUCCGUGAAAACUCACAGCUCAACUGUGGGCGUGCGGGCGAUACGGGCAGACUGGAGUACUGCAGGGGAGACUGGAAUUCCUGGUGUAGCGGUGGAAUGCGCAGAUAUCAGGAGGAACACCGGUGGCGAAGGCGGGUCUCUGGGCAGUAACUGACGCUGAGGAGCGAAAGCGU